UCGACUAGAAUGUCUCAGGAGUGACUGAGUCAGAGAAUAAGAAAAUGAUAAAGUGAGAAAUUAAAACAGAUACAAGUUAUAAGUGGAGCCCCCUGAAGGGAAGGAAAGGGAUCUGGAGCCCCAUUUACUUUAUUUCCUUCACGAAUGUCCAGAGGAGAUCCUUGAAAUGAAGACUGCCACUGGACAUUGCUCCCCAGUGGAUCUCUUGCACUGAAAACUUUAUAUCAGCAUCUGCAUCCCGGAGAACCCAACUAAGACAGGCAACAAAUGUGAGCAAAUCAGUAGCCAUUUUGCUUUGGGGAAUUCAUAUUUGAACUUAGAAUAACUC